rnacentral:rRNA from 1 species
UGCCAGUAGUCAUAUGCUUGUCUCAAAGACUAAGCCAUGCAUGUCUAAGUUUAAGCGAUUUAAACGGUGAGACUGCGGACGGCUCAUUAUAUCAGUUAUAGUUUAUUUGAUGGUCGAUUACUACAAGGAUAACCGUAGGAAUUCUAGAGCUAAUACUUGCACUUCAAGGUGAUUCACAUCACCUGCACUUAUUAGAUUUACCACCAAUGCUCUUCGGAGCUUCGGUGAUUCAUAGUAAUUUAGCGGAUCGCUACGACUUCGGUCGCGACGCUUCAUUCAAAUUUCUGCCCUAUCAGCUUUCGAUGGUAGUGUAUUGGACUACCAUGGCUUUGACGGGUAACGGAGAAUUAGGGUUCGAUUCCGGAGAGGGAGCCUGAGAAACGGCUACCACAUCUAAGGAAGGCAGCAGGCGCGCAAAUUACCCAAUCCCAACGCGGGGAGGUAGUGACAAGAAAUAACAACAACUAACCUAUUUCAGGUGAGUUGAUUGGAAUGAGUACAAUCUAAACACCUUAACGACUAUCCAUUGGAGGGCAAGCCUGGUGCCAGCAGCCGCGGUAAUUCCAGCUCCAAUAGCGUAUACUAAUGUUGUUGCAGUUAAAAAGCUCGUAGUCGGAUUUCAGUAGGCUCAGUUUAGUCUUCAUUGUAAGAUCUAUAUGGGCCUGCUUCUUUGACAGAAACUUCUAUGUUAUUCAUUUAGCGUGGGCAGCGACUGUCUCUUUUACUUUGAGAAAAUUAGAGUGUUCAAAGCAGGUGUAUGCCUGAAUAUUACUCUUGGAAUAAUGCUAUAAGACUUUGGUUCUAAUGUAUUGGUGAUUGGGACCAGAGUAAUGA